UUUUCCUUUUCCUGAUUCUGUAACCUCAUUCUUUCCCUCAUCCUUCCUUUCUUACGGUCUAUGCACCUCUUCAGUAUGCCCCGAGUGAUGCUUCUGCUGCCUCUGUGCAUAGCACUUAUGCCAGUAAGGCUGGGUCAGGGAGCUCCACUGAAAGAAGAGGAGAAAUGGAAACCACUAGACAAUCCCAGGAACAGAGAUCUGUUUUUCAGAACCCUCCAGGCAUAUUUUUUGAGAAGAGGCCUUGAUCUUGAGAAGUUUCCAAAAACUUUCUACAUAAAUAAUGAGAAACCCUGGCCUUCCUCCUUCCACUCAGAUCCCAUCGCUUCUGCAUUUACAGAUUAUGAAGAGCAGAAAAACUCCUUUUCCCAUUACUUCAGAGGCUGAAACUUGGCUCAGGUGGCUAUUUUUAAUCUUCUGAGUAGAAAAAAAAAAUGAAUAGAGGAUAUGGCUGACCUUUUCUACUUCUGACCCCUGCACGCACUCUUAUGUGACUCUUCCGAAUGGUUUUUAUUCCACCACUGUACAUGGAGUAAUCAUCUGGCUGUAUCUGAUAUACCUGUACACUUACUGAAGUGGUUUUUGAUAACCAUAAAGCUAGAUGAGAAAGUUGACAAAUCUCUAAGGCUCUGUUGGCAGAGCAGUCAGUCCCCUGUCUUGGUCCCUGGAAGGUUCUCACACUGAAGAAAUCACAGGCCCUGUUUAAAAACAAAAAAACCGGAACAUAGCUGUGGAGAAUUGUGGAGGCUUUGUUGUUGUUGAUUGCUGUGGCGAUAAGUAUUCCAAAAAGUCCGAGAAAACACAAGCUCCUAAAAUGUUUUUGAGCAGGAAGUAUAAAGGAAUCCAUGUUGUCUUUUGUGUUAAUUACCUCAAUGGCUCACAAGUCUAAAGAGAUUUUACUCUGCUGUCAUUGAAUCACACAAUAUGGAAUCGUAAGUCCUGUUGAUGUUAAACUUGAAUCGGUGUAUUGGUAAAUGUUGGUGAUGGGGAUUGCACACAUAACACACUUUUAAGUUUAAACUACACUAUUAACACUUUCUCCAUCAUUUUCUCAAGUCUAGACAACAAACACAAUAAGUCAAUUUAUAGUGAUUUUGUAGUGUUUGCAGAGUUCUGAGGUGUAAAAGUUCACAAUGAAAAUUUAACAAUUGACUCUCAUAAGCCGGUUCAAGCUGUCUCUAGAACUCUCUUGAUUGAUUCUGGUUACUGCUCUGAAAAGAUGACACAUUCUAUCGGCAUAAUAUGACUAAACAAUAACCCAUAUUUAGGGACAGCCAGGUGGAGCUAUGGCUAGCAUACCCGCCCUCGAAUCAGGAGGACCUUUGACUUUAGGCGCUAGCUGUGUUAACUGGGGGCAAGUGACUUAGUCCCAAUUGCCUAAAAAAAAAAGAAAUCAAACAAAAAAACAUAUUUACACAAUAUAAUAAAUAUCCACAAACACAAUAAAAUGCA
rnacentral:lncRNA from 1 species